rnacentral:rRNA from 1 species
UACGUAGGGUGCGAGCGUUAAUCGGAAUUACUGGGCGUAAAGGGUGCGCAGGCGGUUAUAUAAGACAGAUGUGAAAUCCCCGGGCUCAACCUGGGAACUGCGUUUGUGACUGUAUGACUAGAGUACGGUAGAGAGGGGUGGAAUUCCUGGUGUAGCAGUGAAAUGCGUAGAUAUCAGGAGGAACAUCGAUGGCGAAGGCAGCCCCUUGGACCUGUACUGACGCUCAUGGCACGAAAAGCCGUGGGGAGCAAACAGG